rnacentral:rRNA from 1 species
CCUACGGGUGGCUGCAGUGGGGAAUAGUCUACAAUGGACGAAAGUCUGAUAGUGCGACGCCGCGUGAACGAAGAAGCCCUUCGGGGUGUAAAGUUCUUUUAUAUGUGAGCAAUGCUUCUUAUAUGAAUAGUAUGAGGAGAGAGAUAUUAGCAUAUGAAUAAGCAACGGCUAACUCCGUGCCAGCAGCCGCGGUAACACGGGGGUUGCAAGCGUUGUCCGGAAUUACUAGGCGUAAAGGGCAGGUAGGCGGAUAGAUAAGUUUGAUGUUUAAGGCAGCGGCUCACCCGCUGUACGGCAUUAGAUACUGUUUAUCUGGAAUACGGUUGGGGAAGACAGAAUUCCUGGUGUAGCGGUGGAAUGCGCAGAGAUCAGGAGGAAUACCAAAGGCGAAGGCAGUCUUCUAAGCCGUUAUUGACGCUAAACUGCGAAGGUGUGGGUAUCAAACAGGAUUAGAUACCCGAGUAGUC